rnacentral:lncRNA from 1 species
UCUAGUGCUCUGCCUACACAGUAUAUUGAUGAAUUCAUCUUUAUUCUUCGCCUGUUUUAUAACAAAAGGCGUACAUCAAUUAAGAUUGGUAUUCAUUCUAUUAUACGACAACCAAGUUUAAAAAUCGAACCGAGAGCAGCAGUUCGGCAGCAAUCGCAAGGCUCCCGUAAACCAUGGUUGCGACAUGUUGAUCGAUAUCAUCUGCACCUGCCAUUUCUUGGUUUGAUUAUUGUUACGAACCUUCCUUUAUAUGAGCUCGAAGCGUUCAAAUUAUAAACUGAAAAGUUUAUAAUUGAGGGAGUUCAAAGAAUAGUAAUAAACGAUAACAUAAAUGCUAAUUUUUUUAUAGAACCUUAAAUGAUCUAAAGUUGAAACAACUUUUCUUUCUCUUCAUAUUAUAAGUAAUAAGUGACUGCUGAAAAAAUAAUAAAAGAGUUAUAGCUACCUUAUUGCCUUUUAAGUUUCUAAUGCAAGUGCCACUUAAAGAUACAUGCAUUUUCAUGUUUGAUAUUUCUUGUUAGUACAACUACAGCUAAUCUUUAUGUAUGCAUUUUCAUGUUUAAUAUUUCUUGUUACUUUGUAUUAUUCAAUUCACUUUUAUGGCUACAACUUUCAAAUUAAAAUUAUAACAAUCUAAUUCGUCAAAUUCUUAAAAACAAUCACAUUGGCCUCAGUUACAUAGCCAAAUGCUCCACAACCAACAGAACUGUAAAAACCUAUAAAAAGAACUAAUAGAGAUUAAAAGUUCAAUGAACUUAAAUCUAAAAAGCUAUAACUGUUAUGCCCAAAUUUUAUCAAAAGCCUGGUUUUAAAGAUUCUCUUUCAAGAGAAUUCAAUUACGUUCUCACAAACUGAUUACCCAAUUAAUCGAAUUCCCACAUAUUACAUACAUAAUCCAAAAUGAUAAACAGAGAACGCUAUUAUUUGCUUUUCGAUUUAGUUAUUUGGCUAAAUGGAAAUCUAAAAAUCUGGAAAUAUACUGUAAUUGAUAUCGCUCUUACAGGUAAAGCCUUAUUAAAGUGAUUGGGAUUGCAAUAAGGUGUUAUGUAUAAACAGUUUGAAAUCACUUAUUUGCUUAUUUCAAAAAAGCAAUAAGCAUUUAUAAUAAGCAAUCCCAAACACCCAUUAAAUUCAGUUUCUGUAGCGACACAAACUUGCUAAGCACAUGAUAACACUUACCAUGGAAUCUCAUCUGAUUUCUUUUCCAAUAAAACUGCACGAAGAAGCAUAUUCAAGGAAGAGUUAGGCUGCAUAGAAGCAUACCGUCACUAUCAAACUUUCUACCAGACAUUGAUAAGAUAAUAAUCACCUGCGGUAGAGGAUAAAUUACCAACCAUUUCGAUAUUCUUAAUUUCAAGUAACUAACCAUUUACAUAUGCUCCAAAACUUUAGCACACAGAGCAAGCAAAACCAAAUAACCGCGAAUCAUUCUCUAAACGUGAACAUAUGAAAAAACUAAUUCAAUCAAAGAAGCUAAAACCAGUACGUCAAAUCAAUUCACAAAGUAAAAUUGGAUUUUGACCUCGCUCAACUAUUAGGGCAAGAGAGUGAUUGGUCCUUACCUUCUUCGCCGGAAACCCGGCUGUAGGCCGUGGCCGGAUCG